GCGGCUACACAUGCAGUCGAGCGGAACGAGUUAUCUGAACCUUCGGGGAACGAUAACGGCGUCGAGCGGCGGACGGGUGAGUAAUGCCUAGGAAAUUGCCCUGAUGUGGGGGAUAACCAUUGGAAACGAUGGCUAAUACCGCAUGAUGCCUACGGGCCAAAGAGGGGGACCUUCGGGCCUCUCGCGUCAGGAUAUGCCUAGGUGGGAUUAGCUAGUUGGUGAGGUAAGGGCUCACCAAGGCGACGAUCCCUAGCUGGUCUGAGAGGAUGAUCAGCCACACUGGAACUGAGACACGGUCCAGACUCCUACGGGAGGCAGCAGUGGGGAAUAUUGCACAAUGGGCGCAAGCCUGAUGCAGCCAUGCCGCGUGUAUGAAGAAGGCCUUCGGGUUGUAAAGUACUUUCAGUCGUGAGGAAGGCGUUGUCGUUAAUAGCGGCAUCGUUUGACGUUAGCGACAGAAGAAGCACCGGCUAACUCCGUGCCAGCAGCCGCGGUAAUACGGAGGGUGCGAGCGUUAAUCGGAAUUACUGGGCGUAAAGCGCAUGCAGGUGGUUUGUUAAGUCAGAUGUGAAAGCCCGGGGCUCAACCUCGGAAUAGCAUUUGAAACUGGCAGACUAGAGUACUGUAGAGGGGGGUAGAAUUUCAGGUGUAGCGGUGAAAUGCGUAGAGAUCUGAAGGAAUACCGGUGGCGAAGGCGGCCCCCUGGACAGAUACUGACACUCAAAUGCGAAAGCGGGGGGAGCAAACAGGAUAAAAUACCCGGGAAGCCCACGCCGUAAACGAUGUCUAC
rnacentral:rRNA from 1 species